rnacentral:rRNA from 1 species
GACGAACGCUGGCGGCGUGCUUAACACAUGCAAGUCGAACGGAAAGGCCCUGCUUUUGUGGUGUGCUCGAGUGGCGAACGGGUGAGUAACACGUGAGUAACCUGCCCUUGACUUUGGGAUAACUUCAGGAAACUGGGGCUAAUACCGGAUAGGAGCUCCUGCUGCAUGGUGGGGGUUGGAGAGUUUAGGCGGUUGGGGAUGGACUCGCGGCUUAUCAGCUUGUUGGUGGGGUAGUGGCUUACCAAGGCGUUGACGGGUAGCCGGCCUGAGAGGGUGACCGGCCACAUUGGGACUGAGAUACGGCCCAGACUCCUACGGGAGGCAGCAGUGGGGAAUAUUGCACAAUGGGCGGAAGCCUGAUGCAGCAACGCCGCGUGCGGGAUGACGGCCUUCGGGUUGUAAACCGCUUUCGCCUGUGACGAAGCGUGAGUGACGGUAAUGGGUAAAGAAGCACCGGCUAACUACGUG